CGGUAAUACGUAGGUGGCAAGCGUUGUCCGGAAUCAUUGGGCGUAAAGAGCGCGUAGGUGGCUUGUCAGGUCUGAUGUGAAAUUUCGGGGCUCAACCCCGAACCUGCAUCGGAAACCGGCUUGCUUGAGUCUGGGAGAGGAGAGUGGAAUUCCUGGUGUAGCGGUGAAAUGCGUAGAUAUCAGGAGGAACACCGGUAGCGAAGGCGGCUCUCUGGAACAGUACUGACGCUGAGGCGCGAAAGCUAGGGGAGCAAACAGGAUUAGAUACCCUGGUAGUCCUAGCCGCAAACGAUGGACACUAAGUGUCGGGGGUGUCGACUCCCCCGGUGCCGAAGCUAACGCAUUAAGUGUCCCGCCUGGGGAGUACGGCCGCAAGGCUAAA
rnacentral:rRNA from 1 species